UACGAAGGGGGCUAGCGUUGCUCGGAAUCACUGGGCGUAAAGGGCGCGUAGGCGGCCAUUCAAGUCGGGGGGUGAAAGCCUGUGGCUCAACCACAGAAUUGCCUUCGAUACUGUUUGGCUUGAGUCUGGUAGAGGUUGGUGGAACUGCGAGUGUAGAGGUGAAAUUCGUAGAUAUUCGCAAGAACACCGGUGGCGAAGGCGGCCAACUGGACCAGUACUGACGCUGAGGCGCGAAAAGCGUGGGGAGCGAACAGG
rnacentral:rRNA from 1 species